rnacentral:lncRNA from 1 species
CCUUAAUCCGUCAGCUAAUAGUUUUGUUCUCUUUCCGUUCCAGAGAAGAGGUCGAUUUGGAACUUCCAAGCACUGAAAAUGAAUGUCUAUCAAGUUCAGAAGCUGGUGCUGGGGAAAUCAAAGUGGUAUUUAAAGAGAAAACAGUUUCUUCUCUGGGAGUUGCAGCAGAUGGAGUGGCCCCAGUCUUCAAAAAGAGAAGAAUUGAAAAUGGAAAAUCUCGAAAUUUAAGACAGCGAGGUGAGGACGAGUGACUGAAGCUGCAGGCAGAUGAGGCGUGUCCUUUCCAAGCUCCUGCUUCAAAUACUGUAGUGCUGCAUUUUACAUUUAUGCUAAAUGUUUUUAUGUGAAUCAAAAUAAAUCUUCCUUCAUGUGAAAUUUAUUUUUGUUCCUUAAAUGGAAGCCUAUCACAUUGCAUUGUAAUACAGUGUAUUAUGUUCAAUGUCUAAAAUUGCUAAUUAUAUAAUAACUUAAGAUGCUAUGUAUCUGUUAUUUAAAACAUGGG